rnacentral:rRNA from 1 species
GUACACUCCUACGGGAGGCAGCAGUGGGGAAUUUUGGACAAUGGGCGAAAGCCUGAUCCAGCAAUGCCGCGUGAGUGAAGAAGGCCUUCGGGUUGUAAAGCUCUUUUGUCAGGGAAGAAACGGUGAAAGCUAAUAUCUUUUGCUAAUGACGGUACCUGAAGAAUAAGCACCGGCUAACUACGUGCCAGCAGCCGCGGUAAUACGUAGGGUGCAAGCGUUAAUCGGAAUUACUGGGCGUAAAGCGUGCGCAGGCGGUUUUGUAAGUCUGAUGUGAAAUCCCCGGGCUCAACCUGGGAAUUGCAUUGGAGACUGCAAGGCUAGAAUCUGGCAGAGGGGGGUAGAAUUCCACGUGUAGCAGUGAAAUGCGUAGAUAUGUGGAGGAACACCGAUGGCGAAGGCAGCCCCCUGGGUCAAGAUUGACGCUCAUGCACGAAAGCGUGGGGAGCAAACAGGAUUAGAAACCCCUGUAGUCCCAUGA